rnacentral:rRNA from 1 species
AACGAACGCUGGCGGCAUGCCUAACACAUGCAAGUCGAACGAGACCUUCGGGUCUAGUGGCGCACGGGUGCGUAACGCGUGGGAACCUGCCCUUAGGUUCGGAAUAACUCCCCGAAAGGGGUGCUAAUACCGGAUAAUGUCUUCGGACCAAAGAUUUAUCGCCUUUGGAUGGGCCCGCGUUGGAUUAGCUAGUUGGUAGGGUAAAAGCCUACCAAGGCGACGAUCCAUAGCUGGUCUGAGAGGAUGAUCAGCCACACUGGGAAUGAGACACGGCCCAGAAUCCUACGGGAGGCAGCAGUGGGGAAUAUUGGACAAUGGGCGAAAGCCUGAUCCAGCAAUGCCGCGUGAGUGAUGAAGGCCUUAGGGUUGUAAAGCUCUUUUACCCGGGAUGAUAAUGACAGUACCGGGAGAAUAAGCUCCGGCUAACUCCGUG